rnacentral:rRNA from 1 species
AGGGUGUAAACGCUGCAGACUUGGUGUUGGGGGCCCUUUGGGGGCAUUCAGUGCCGGAGAGAAGUUGUUAAGUCUGCUACUUGGGAGUACGUCCGCAAGGAUGAAACUUAAAGGAAUUGGCGGGGGAGCACCGCAACGGGAGGAGCGUGCGGUUUAAUUGGAUUCAACGCCGAAAAACUCACCAGCAGCGACAGCAGAAUGAUGGCCAGGUUGAUGACCUUGCUUGACAAGCUGAGAGGUGGUGCAUGGCGUGUGACUGU